GUUCAGAACACUGAGUCAUCGAGGCUUAAAAUUCAACGGCAAUAAUACUUUGUGGGGUGCAGAAAGCACACUCAGACGCCACAACUUGUUACAGAAACAGAUCGCUGCUCGGGAAGGUUAAUCCGCUUUGAACAAGAUAAGGCACGAAGAGGCUGACAUCAGAGACUUCCCUCGGUUCCAGUCAAACACAGCACAGAGCAGCACAGCCAGCGAGCAUAUGCGCUGUUUGAACAAGACAUACUUCUGCCCGUGAUUGAUACUGGCUUUCGAGAUCUUGGGGAAAGGUGAGGAUGGCACAUGUCAGCAGCAGAGGCGUUGGGAUCAGGGGCCCAGGAUCAGAGCCACUGCGAGCGCAGCACUCAGGCUGAGGCCAGAGAGGGUGGAAGAAUGGCAGGCAGACAUACGACGCGCCUUCCCCCGUGCACUCCUGUAAAGCUGCCUCUCUCAACCAGGUCCUAUCCUGGGAGAAGGAAGGGCCAACUCUUGAGAGGCAAGCAGCUUUGUCUGGAAGGUCGGACUUCAGCUGACCAGGCGAAAUCCUGAAUUGACUGGACAAGUACCCAAAAGAGACUGUCGUGCACGAAGAGAAACUGAGUUACCCACAAGUGUGAGUAUUGCUUGUCAUUACAGAGCAGAAGUAAGGACUUGCGAGCGAGUCGGCUCUAUAUUGGCGGAAGUGAAAGAACAUUGCAUUUCUGGUCAUCUGAGUCAUAGCACUUGCAGGUCCUUCUAGUUGUGGGAUGUGGGACGCUGCCUCAACGUGGCCUGACGAGCGGUGCCUUGUCCGUGCCCAGAGCGCGUGAACUUAACCACUUGGCAGCAGAGCCGGCCCCAGCUAAGGCGUCUUUGUCCUCUCCACCUCCCCUCUUCCAGCACUGCCUGUGUGUCGCUCUUCUCAUCUCUCAGCCUCCAUUUCUAGCUAUCUCCCACCUUUAAAAAAUGAAUAAAAAU
ensembl:lncRNA